rnacentral:lncRNA from 1 species
AUGCUGCAUUUUACAUAGAGAGCUAUCUGCCAGUGUUAUUUUCCCGUGGCCCUGAGUGUGACCAUUGGUUUCAUCUUUCACCAGUUCUAUGUGAUGCAGCCCAAAGGUGAAAAACAAAACACGGAAAAGAAGCAGUUUUCAGACUGGAAAUCUUACCAACUUAUACAUCACUACAAAGAAAAC